CGCAUUUAUAGCUACAUAUGUGACUUGCAACCGAACCUUGCUGAGAUAGGCCGAGAACUUAUUUGGGGCCCUAAAAUGGAAGUGGUUGGUUAUAUAUUAGUAAGUGAGAAGGGCACAUAGAUAAUGCCACCAGGAUGCUAGAGAAAAAACCCCAGAGAAAUGAAAAUGAAAAUCCAUUUUCAAAUAAGCUGGGUUAGCACUGCUGAUCGUAACCUUUACCCUACUGGCUUUCUGGCCACGGAACUGAAGGCUUAGCAGGCAGCUUUAGGGGUUGGCUAAUUGCACCCUCCCGCCCCGCCCCAUCUCCACUGGGUGUUCCCGCCUGUUACAACUAAGACCUUCGAGUAAUUAAAAUAUUGCUUAAAAUAUUGCGCAACUGAUAGCACUGACUGGAGGUGGCAAAUAGCAUAUUUUCCCCUAAUUGGUUUUUUUAUGCUUUCUUGUUUUUUCUUUAUGACCAAUGUUAUAGCUAAACCAGACCUCCCAACGACUCAAAACACACACACACACACACACACACACACACACACACACACCCCUACCUCCUGGCUGGAAAGGCAGCGUGGGAGGUGUAUCUGCUUCAGGGGAGGCCAGAGGCACUGCCCAGGGCUGUUAAACCCUCUGAGUGCCGGUAAUUAGGGGGGGGGCCGUAAUUAUCCUGGGGGGGCCAGAGGAGCCUGGAGCACUGGGAAUAAUAAUAGUGCUGUGGGGGGGAGGGCCAGGGUGGGGAAGGGCUGUCCUGGAUCAAACGCCGCCACAUUUGCUCAACCUCCACUUAGUGAGCCGUGUCACCCACAUGCACUCAGGAAUCGAUAUUCAUGCGACGGUGGCUGCACUGAUAAGACUCCUCCUCGUUCAGGGCUGGGCCUGAUGUCCCUGAGGGUGGCUGUGACACAGUGCGGCCCAGAGACCUCCGGGAACUUGCCCAGGAUCACACAGCUCCGGUGGGGGCUCCGCAGGGGCGCAGUGCGGACCACAUGGCAGUGGAGAGUGGCCCUCAGUCCUGGGCGCCUCCAUGUGCCAGGGUAGCCCACCGCGUCCUACAGACACAAGCCUCAAGCAGAAGACCAAACUGCCGACGACCCACCCAGGCCCACGCCUUUUCCACGGCUGGUUCGCAGCCGCUUGGUGACUUGGAAAAUGGGAGACUACGUUCCCACCUUCACUGAGACAGAGAAUGGAUGUGGAAGGGGCGAUGGAUGGAAAGCCGGGCGGGGGUUUUUGUGUACAAAUACUUGGGGGGAAAGGCAGUCUACCCCGCCCACAUGAAGAGCAGUAAUUACUCCUUACAGAACAGAAUUCUUUUGUUGUCCGGC